rnacentral:rRNA from 1 species
GACGAACGCUGGCGGCGUGCUUAACACAUGCAAGUCGAACGGAAAGGCCCUGCUUUUGUGGGGUGCUCGAGUGGCGAACGGGUGAGUAACACGUGAGUAACCUGCCCUUGACUUUGGGAUAACUUCAGGAAACUGGGGCUAAUACCGGAUAGGAGCUCCCGCCGCAUGGUGGGCGUUGGAAAGUUUCGGCGGUUGGGGAUGGACUCGCGGCCUAUCAGCUUGUUGGUGGGGUAGUGGCUUACCAAGGCCUUGCCGGGUAGCCGGCCUGCGAGGGUCAGCGGCCACAUUGGGACUGGGAUGCGGCCCAGACUCCUACGGGAGGCAGCGGUGGGGAAUAUUGCACAGUGGGCGGGAGCCUGAUGCGGCAACGCCGCGUGCGGGAUGACGGCCUGCGGGUUGUAUACCGCUUUCGCCUGUGACGAAGCGUGAGUGACGGUAAUGGGUGAAGAAGCACCGGCUAACUACGUG